rnacentral:rRNA from 1 species
AGCGAACGCUGGCGGCAGGCUUAACACAUGCAAGUCGAGCGCCGUAGCAAUACGGAGCGGCAGACGGGUGAGUAACACGUGGGAACGUACCUUUUGGUUCGGAACAACACAGGGAAACUUGUGCUAAUACCGGAUAAGCCCUUACGGGGAAAGAUUUAUCGCCGAAAGAUCGGCCCGCGUCUGAUUAGCUAGUUGGUGAGGUAACGGCUCACCAAGGCGACGAUCAGUAGCUGGUCUGAGAGGAUGAUCAGCCACACUGGGACUGAGACACGGCCCAGACUCCUACGGGAGGCAGCAGUGGGGAAUAUUGGACAAUGGGCGCAAGCCUGAUCCAGCCAUGCCGCGUGAGUGAUGAAGGCCCUAGGGUUGUAAAGCUCUUUUGUGCGGGAAGAUAAUGACUGUACCGCAAGAAUAAGCCCCGGCUAACUUCGUGCCAGCCGCCGCAGUAA